CCUGGAAAAAUGGAUCCUGUCAGAUGGUUCAGGCCCUUGUGGAUGCUGGAGCAGAGGCCUCUGUAAUUUAUGGUCACCCUAAAAAGUUGCAAGGACAGCAAGUUCUGACUGCAGGAUGAGGUGGGAAACAAAGUGCAGUGGUCCAGAGAAAAGCUGAGCUUAAAAUUGGUCCUGUGCCAGAGCAGCCUUGUGCAGUGCUUGUUGCUGUCCCUGAGUGUCCCAUUGCAGUGGAUAUUCCCAAGGGUGCCUUGUGCUGGGGAACACUGGGGGCAGUUCCCUUUCCCUGGGCAGGGCAGGCAGGGCACGUUUCCCCCCUCGAGGGUGGCUCCACAGUCCCACCCUCUGCCCUGGGAGCGUGGCAGAACACCUGGAGCCACUGUCCUUGCCAGAGAGGGCACAAGGGAUGGUUGGAUGGGUGAGGGAAUGGUUCAGGGAGUACAAGCACCAUUAGAAUGAGUAGGGCAGCACAUGGAAAGGAAGGGGGGAGUUAAUCCAGACAGAAUUCAAGCACCUGCCCAACCUGUGAUAGUUUUAGGAACUCAGAGGUGUUGUGGUCCCCAGGAACUGUUGCCCAGGACUAGGCAGGAGACUUCAGGCUUGGUCACCCCCAGAGCAAGGUGGAAGCCCAGCAGUUUAUUGGUUGGUUUGGCUUUUGGUGACAACAAGGUCCUCCUUUGGGACCAAUCCUUGGCCUGGGCCAUAAAGUCCCAGGGCAGAAGUGUGAGUUUGAGUGGGAAAUGAGCAGCAGGGAGGGUUGGAAACAGCUCAGGGAGCAAUUCAACAGGCUCCAGACCUGUGGCCAAUACGAGCUCCAGAGGGGGAACUGAAGGUUCCUGCCAGUGCUAAUGAUGCCAAUUGGAGCCUCUGGCAGAAGUAGGGUAGGAAGGAAGUGCCCUUAGGAUUUGGGAAUAGGAAGUUACUGGAAGCCAG